rnacentral:tRNA from 1 species
GCCGCUAUCGUCUAUGGUUAAGACAGAUGGUUCUCAGCCAUCAAACGGAGGUUCGAAUCCCCGUAGCGGUA